CCUACGGGCGGCAGCAGUGGGGAAUAUUGGUCAAUGGGCGCGAGCCUGAACCAGCCAAGUCGCGUGAGGGAAGACGGUCCUAUGGAUUGUAAACCUCUUUUGUCGGGGAGCAAAAGACGCCACGCGUGGCGUUCCGCGAGUACCCGAAGAAAAAGCAUCGGCUAACUCCGUGCCAGCAGCCGCGGUAAUACGGGGGAUACGAGCGUUAUCCGGAUUUAUUGGGGUAAAGGGGUGCGAAGGGGGAAGAUCAAGUCAGCGGUAAAAUUGAGAGGCUCAACCUCUUCGAGCCGUUGAAACGGGGUUUCUUGAGUGAUGGAGAAGCAGGCGGAAUGCGUGGUGUAGCGGUGAAAUGCAUAGAUA
rnacentral:rRNA from 1 species